GUUUAUCAAACACAUGUCUUUUUGAAUUUAAUUUAAAGUCUAACCUGCCCACUGAAAUUUUUAAAUGGCCGCAGUAUUUUAACUGUGCAAAGGUAGCAUAAUCAUUAGUCUUUUAAUUAAAGGCUGGAAUGAAUGGUUGAAUGAGAUAUUAACUGUUUCAUAUAAAUUAAUAAUAGAAUUUUAUUUUUUAGUUAAAAAGCUAAAAUUUAAUUAAAAGACGAGAAGACCCUAUAAAUCUUUAUAUUUAUUUUUAUUAUUAUUAUAUUGAUGAUUUAAAUUUUUAUAAAAAUAAAUAUUUUAUUGGGGUGAUAUUAAAAUUUAAAAAACUUUUAAUUAAUAAUAUACAAUAAUUAAUGAAUUAUUGAUCCAUAAAUAAUGAUUAUAAAAUUAAGUUACUUUAGGGAUAACAGCGUAAUUUUUUUAGAGAGUUCAUAUUAAUAAAAAAGUUUGCGACCUCGAUGUUGGAUUAAGAUAAAAUUUAGGUGGAGAAG
rnacentral:rRNA from 1 species